UACGUAGGGUGCGAGCGUUUGUCCGGAAUUACUGGGCGUAAAGAGCUCGUAGGUGGUUUGUCGCGUUGUCCGUGAAAACUCACAACUCAAUUGUGGGCGUGCGGGCGAUACGGGCAGACUGGAGUACUGCGGGGGAGACUGGAAUUCCUGGUGUAGCGGUGGAAUGCGCAGAUAUCAGGAGGAACACCGGUGGCGAAGGCGGGUCUCUGGGCCGUAAGCUGACGCUGAGGAGCGAAAGCAUGGGGAGCGAACAGG
rnacentral:rRNA from 1 species